GUCUACGGCCAUUCCACCCCUGAACAAGCCUAAUCCCGUCUUAUCUCGGAAGCUAAGCAGGGCCAGGCUGGUUAGUACUUGGAUGGGAGACCACCUAGGAAGACCAAGUACUGUAGGCA
rnacentral:rRNA from 1 species